GUGAAUCACUAAAUCAUGUGCAUUUCCACCUUUUGAUAAUAUUUCCAGCUUCCGCUGGCUGUGGGAACCAAGCUGGAGCAUGUUAUUACACAAUUGGCUCAUGAAGUUGCUGAAAAGCAUAGCGCAAUAGAAGGGGAACUGGUUGUUCAACCGUCAGACGAACACUUUGGUUUCAACGCCCCCGAAUAGUCCUCUACUUGAUCCAUUUUAUACUUUUCCAAAAUGCUUUUGAGAUUGCAUUCUUCUUCUGGAUCUGGGUUCAAUAUGGCUUUGACUCCUGCAUAAUGGGACAAGUCUGUUGCAUUGUUCAGAGGCUUAUUAUUGGUGUGUUCAUUCAGGUACUCUGCAGUUACAGCACUCUGCCCCUAUAUGCCAUAGUUGCUUAAAU